AAAAUUUAAAGGACGCGGUAACCUUGACCGUGAUAACGUAGCAUAAUCAUUUGCCAUUUAAUUGAUGGAUAGUAUGAAUGGUUGAACGAAUAUUCCACUGUCUUAAAAAAAGAACAACAAAAAUUGGAGUAAUAGUAAAGAUACUAUUUAAAAUUGUAAGACGAAAAGACCCUAUAGAGCUUAACUAUAACCUUUUAUAAUGAAAGGUUGGUAGUUUAGUUGGGGCAACUUUCUUUUAAAAUUAACAAAGAAAAUUAAAAUUAAUUAAAACAAUAUUACUGUAUAACAAAUAAGUUUAACAGUUAUAAAAAUAGAAUAUAAUGACCCGUUAAAAUUAAAUAAACAAAAAUUAACGAUUAAUAAAUAAAAGCUACCUUAGGGAUAACAGGAUAAUUUCAUUCAAGAGAUCUUAUCAAAAAUGAAGUUUGUCACCUCUAUGUUGAAUUAAGA
rnacentral:rRNA from 1 species